GAUGAACGCUGGCGGCGUGCCUAAUACAUGCAAGUCGAGCGAACAGACGAGGAGCUUGCUCCUCUGACGUUAGCGGCGGACGGGUGAGUAACACGUGGAUAACCUACCUAUAAGACUGGGAUAACUUCGGGAAACCGGAGCUAAUACCGGAUAAUAUAUUGAACCGCAUGGUUCAAUAGUGAAAGACGGUUUUGCUGUCACUUAUAGAUGGAUCCGCGCCGCAUUAGCUAGUUGGUAAGGUAACGGCUUACCAAGGCAACGAUGCGUAGCCGACCUGAGAGGGUGAUCGGCCACACUGGAGCUGAGACACGGUCCAGACUCCUACGAGAGGCAGCAGUAGGGAAUCUUCCGCAAUGGGCGAAAGCCUGACGGAGCAACGCCGCGUGAGUGAUGACGGUCUUCGGAUCGUAAAACUCUGUUAUUAGGGAAGAACAAAUGUGUAAGUAACUAUGCACGUCUUGACGGUACCUAAUCAGAAAGCCACGGCUAACUACGUG
rnacentral:rRNA from 1 species